rnacentral:rRNA from 1 species
GUGGGGAAUAUUGGACAAUGGGGGGAACCCUGAUCCAGCCAUGCCGCGUGUGUGAAGAAGGCCUUUUGGUUGUAAAGCACUUUAAGCGAGGAGGAGGCUACCGAGAUUAAUACUCUUGGAUAGUGGACGUUACUCGCAGAAUAAGCACCGGCUAACUCUGUGCCAGCAGCCGCGGUAAUACAGAGGGUGCAAGCGUUAAUCGGAUUUACUGGGCGUAACGCGCGCGUAGGUGGCCAAUUAAGUCAAAUGUGAAAUCCCCGAGCUUAACUUGGGAAUUGCAUUCGAUACUGGUUGGCUAGAGUAUGGGAGAGGAUGGUAGAAUUCCAGGUGUAGCGGUGAAAUGCGUAGAGAUCUGGAGGAAUACCGAUGGCGAAGGCAGCCAUCUGGCCUAAUACUGACACUGAGGUGCGAAAGCAUGGGGAGCAAACAGGAUUAGAAACCCUUGUAGUCC